rnacentral:rRNA from 1 species
UGUGCCAGCCGCCGCGGUAAUACGUAGGGUGCAAGCGUUAAUCGGAAUUACUGGGCGUAAAGCGUGCGCAGGCGGUCCGCUAAGACAGAUGUGAAAUCCCCGGGCUUAACCUGGGAACUGCAUUUGUGACUGGCGGGCUAGAGUAUGGCAGAGGGGGGUAGAAUUCCACGUGUAGCAGUGAAAUGCGUAGAGAUGUGGAGGAAUACCGAUGGCGAAGGCAGCCCCCUGGGCCAAUACUGACGCUCAUGCACGAAAGCGUGGGGAGCAAACAGGAUUAGAUACCCCAGUAGUCC